UUCAUUUAUCCCUAGCUGUGCCUUCAACAGCAGCUGACAGAUGAUGGGACAAGUUCUGAUACAACUCACAGCCCUAAGCAUGAUUGGGACCUGCAGUGCUCAAAUCUGUACAAAGAAAACAUAGGCCAGGUGCGGUGGCUCAGGCCUAUAAACCCAGCACUUUGGAGGUCGAGGCGGGCAGAUCACUUGAGGUCAGAAGUUCGAGACCAGCCUGUCCAAUAAGGUGAAA